ensembl:misc_RNA Metazoa_SRP Metazoan signal recognition particle RNA
ACCGGGUGCGGUGGCACAUGCCUGUGGUCCCAGCUACUCUGGAGGCUGAGGUGGGAGGAUCGCUUGAGCCCAGGAGUUCUGGGCUGUAGUGCGCUAUGCCGACUGGGUGUCUGCACUAAGUUCGGCAUCAAUACGGUGACCUCCCAGGAGCGGGGGGACCACCAGGUUGCCUAAGGAGGGGUGAACCAGCCCAGGUUGGAAAUGGAGCAGGUCAAAACUCCUGUGCUGAUGUGGGAUGGCGCCUGUGAGUAGCCACUGCAUUCCAGCUUGGGCAAUGUAGCGAGACCCUGUCUCUU